UACAGAGGUCCCAAGCGUUGUUCGGAUUCACUGGGCGUAAAGGGUGCGUAGGCGGCGCGGUAAGUCGGGUGUGAAAUCUCGGAGCUUAACUCCGAAACUGCAUUCGAUACUGCCGUGCUUGAGGACUGGAGAGGAGACUGGAAUUUACGGUGUAGCGGUGAAAUGCGCAGAUAUCAGGAGGAACACCCGUAGCGAAGGCGGCACUCUGGGCCGAUACUGACGCUGAGGAGCGAAAGCGUGGGGAGCGAACAGG
rnacentral:rRNA from 1 species